GACGAACGCUGGCGGCGUGCUUAACACAUGCAAGUCGAACGGAAAGGCCUCUUUCGGGGGGUACUCGAGUGGCGAACGGGUGAGUAACACGUGAGUAACCUGCCCUUGACUUUGGGAUAACUUCAGGAAACUGGGGCUAUUACCGGAUAGUAGCUCCUGCUGCAUGGUGGGGGUUGGAAAGUUUCGGCGGUUGGGGAUGGACUCGCGGCUUAUCAGCUUGUUGGUGGGGUAGUGGCUUACCAAGGCUUUGACGGGUAGCCGGCCUGAGAGGGUGAGCGGCCACACUGGGACUGAGAGACGGCCCAGACGCCGACGGGAGGCAGCAGGGGGGAAUAUUGCACAAUGGGUGGAAGCCGGAUGCAGCAAGGCCGCGUGCGGGAUGACGGCCUUCGGGUUGUAAACCGCUUUCGAUCAUGACGAAGCUUUGUGUGACGGUAGUGGGUAAAGAAGCACCGGCUAACUACGUG
rnacentral:rRNA from 1 species